rnacentral:ncRNA from 2 species
CUGCCCUUUGUACACACCGCCCGUCGCUACUACCGAUUGAAUGGCUCAGUGAGGCGUCCGGACUGGCCCAGAGAGGUGGGCAACUACCACUCAGGGCCGGAAAGCUCUCCAAACUCGGUCAUUUAGAGGAAGUAAAAGUCGUAACAAGGUCUCCGUUGGUGAACCAGCGGAGGGAUCAUUACCGAGUUUACAACUCCCAAACCCCUGUGAACAUACCACUUGUUGCCUCGGCGGAUCAGCCCGCUCCCGGUAAAACGGGACGGCCCGCCAGAGGACCCCUAAACUCUGUUUCUAUAUGUAACUUCUGAGUAAAACCAUAAAUAAAUCAAAACUUUCAACAACGGAUCUCUUGGUUCUGGCAUCGAUGAAGAACGCAGCAAAAUGCGAUAAGUAAUGUGAAUUGCAGAAUUCAGUGAAUCAUCGAAUCUUUGAACGCACAUUGCGCCCGCCAGUAUUCUGGCGGGCAUGCCUGUUCGAGCGUCAUUUCAACCCUCAAGCACAGCUUGGUGUUGGGACUCGCGUUAAUUCGCGUUCCCCAAAUUGAUUGGCGGUCACGUCGAGCUUCCAUAGCGUAGUAGUAAAACCCUCGUUACUGGUAAUCGUCGCGGCCACGCCGUUAAACCCCAACUUCUGAAUGUUGACCUCGGAUCAGGUAGGAAUACCCGCUGAACUUAAG